rnacentral:rRNA from 1 species
CGUGCAGCAAGGAAUAUUGCGCAAUGGACGAAAGUCUGACGCAGCAACACCGCGUGGAGGAUGAAGGCCUUCGGGUUGUAAACUCCUUUUCUGGGGGAAGAGAUAGGACGGUACCCCAGGAAUAAGUCUCGGCUAACUACGUGCCAGCAGCCGCGGUAAAACGUAGGAGGCGAACGUUAUCCGGAUUUACUGGGCGUAAAGCGCAUGCAGGCGGUUUCUUAAGUCGGACGUGAAAGCUCCUGGCUCAACUGGGAGAGGUCGUUCGAAACUGGGAAACUUGAGGAUGGUAGAGGAGAGUGGAAUUCCCGGUGUAGUGGUGAAAUGCGUAGAUAUCGGGAGGAACACCAGUGGCGAAGGCGGCUCUCUGGGCCAUUCCUGACGCUAAGAUGCGAAAGCCAGGGUAGAGAACGGGAUUAGAAACCCCGGUAUUCCUGGCCGUAAACGAUGUCAACUAGGUGUAGGGGGUAUCCAACCCCUCUGUGCUGUAGCAAACGCGUUAAGUUGACCGCCUGGGGACUACGGCCGCAAGGCUA